rnacentral:snoRNA from 1 species
UGGUUGUGAUGAGGACAAUCUCUGACCAGCCCAAUGAAUCUCUCCCAAGCUAAAUAUAGAUACUCCCCCAAUUUCUGUUUGAAGGUGACUAUCUCACUUCUAAUCUU